rnacentral:rRNA from 1 species
UACAGAGGUCUCAAGCGUUGUUCGGAUUCAUUGGGCGUAAAGGGUGCGUAGGUGGGCAGGUAAGUCAGUGGUGAAAUCUCCGGGCUUAACCCGGAAACUGCCGUUGAUACUAUCUGUCUUGAAUAUAGUGGAGGUGAGCGGAAUAUGUCAUGUAGCGGUGAAAUGCUUAGAUAUGACAUAGAACACCCAUUGCGAAGGCAGCUCGCUACACUAUCAUUGACACUGAGGCACGAAAGCGUGGGGAUCAAACAGG